UUUAGUGUUUCUAAAUAAAUUUACGUCGGUUCUUAAGAAAAAGGUCUUUGAUUUCGUUGGAGGAAGUAGAAUUUUUUGUAUCUGUCCGGUAGUUUGAACUUAAAAAAAAAUUAUCCUGGAUCUUCUAACUGACUGCAAGUAAAUAUUUUUUUGGUACAUUUCAAGUAUCUUACUUCUUUUGUUAAAAAAUAAAUGUUUAUGGUGUCUCGGUUUGGAGCCUCAAUUUAUUACUUAGAAACUGAAAGCAUGUUUUAUAAAUUUUUUUAAAAUAAAUGUGCCUUGAUGAAUAAAAUAAUAUUUCUUUCUUGAGAAAAUUUAAAAUCUACUCUAGUCCCUUGGGUUGCACCAACUGUGAAAAAAUAAGGCUUGAACAUUUGAUUCCUAGUACAUAUGUUUAUGUUUGUCGCUUUGGAAGUGAAAGCUAUCAUGAUGGCCCUUCUCUCUCUUAGAGAUUGCAAUUUGUUUUCCUAGUAUGUGAUGACCAUGGAUGAAAGACUUGUACCCUCAGUUAUGGGAACUGUCAAAUUUAGUUUAUCGAGAAAGGUUGUUGAUAUGUGUUUUGAAGCUUCAUUUUUUAAAGAUAGUUGAUAAAGAAUCAAAAAUGGUCGGGUCUCUUUGGUAGAGAACAUUUUUGCUGUGGCCCUUGCAUCCAUAAUGAAUGUUUUAAUUGAGAUUGUUUUACCCAAGGAUAAGAGCUUCAAUUCCCUAUUAACAAGUUUUCAGUCCCAAAAUUGCUGUGCUUGGAUAAUCAUUUUGAAAGUUAAAAGUUUCUCGAUCUUUCAAAACAAACUUACUUUAUAUCCUUAAAUGUCUCAUGUCGAAAUAUGUAAGUUCCGAAAGUAAAAUAACUCGAUUCAUUUUUUUUCUUAAAUUAAGGGUGUCUUUAUCUGUUUUUUAAAAAUAAUUGUUCCUGUUGCUGUCUAAGCAAAUGUUCCUCAAUUUUUUCGAGCAAUCCUGUCCCUCAAAAUAGUUCCAAUUCUUAAAAAAAUGUGACUUUGAUCUUUUAGCUAGAAGUAAAUAUUUUCUUAUAUAUCAACAAAAUUUUUUCAACUUUUUGUUGAAACAUAAUUACAAUAGGUGUUUCUUAUGAAAAGUGUACCGGU
rnacentral:lncRNA from 1 species